UACGGGGGGGGCAAGCGUUGUUCGGAAUUACGGGGCGUAAAGGGCUCGUAGGUGGCCAACUAAGUCAGACGUGAAAUCCCUCGGCUUAACCGGGGAACUGCGUCUGAUACUGGAUGGCUUGAGUUCGGGAGAGGGAUGCGGAAUUCCAGGUGUAGCGGUGAAAUGCGUAGAUAUCUGGAGGAACACCGGUGGCGAAGGCGGCAUCCUGGACCGACACUGACGCUGAGGAGCGAAAGCCAGGGGAGCGAACGGG
rnacentral:rRNA from 1 species